AUUGAACGCUGGCGGCAAGCCUAACACAUGCAAGUCGAACGAGUGGCGGACGGGUGAGUAAUUUCUGGGAAACUGCCUGAUGGAGGGGGAUAACUACUGGAAACGGUAGCUAAUACCGCAUACCAUCGGAUGUGCCCAGUUGGGAUUAGCUAGUAGGUGGGGUAAAGGCUCACAUAGGCGACGAUCCCUAGCUGGUCUGAGAGGGUGACAAGCCACACUGGAACUGAGACACGGUCCAGACUCCUACGGGAGGCAGGAGUGGGGAAUAUUGCACAAGGGGCGCAAGCCUGAUGCAGCCAUGCCGCGUGUAUGAAGAAGGCCUUCGGGUUGUAAAGUUCUUUCAGCGGGGAGGCGUUACCCGAAGAAGAAGCACCGGCUAACUCCGUGCCAGCAGCCGCGGUAAUAC
rnacentral:rRNA from 1 species